rnacentral:misc_RNA from 1 species
GUGAAUCAUCGAAUUUUUGAACGCAAAUUGCACUUUCUGGUAUUCCGGAAAGUAUGCCUGUUUGAGGGUCUGAAAAAUAAAAAUCGGUGUUGUUGCUGCCUUUCGUGGUGACGCGUCGGAUUUGAGUCGUCUUACCUUCGGUUAAGCUUCUUAAAAUUUUUGCAUGAUUUUCGAACGUAUUUAAAUCGCUUACGUAUGUUUGCGAUAUCGGAUACUUUAUUAGGUUCGGUCAUCCUCAUGAUUAGCACCUAUAAUUUUUCAUUAAAUAACCU